rnacentral:lncRNA from 1 species
UUCGAGUUCUGGAUGGUCAGAAACCCAUCUUUCCCUCAACCAAAUCUUGUUUCUGCUGAUGAGCUCUUUGUUGAUGGUGUCCUCCUCCCUCUCCACCUCCUCCACCAACCCAACAACAACACUAACAACAGCCACCCUGACCCUGACCCUGACUCACCCGAACCCGAACCACCCAACGCUCAACCUGACCCUGGACCAGAAAUUUCACCAGCAAGCAUAACCAUAGAGCCAACCUCAAGCUCAAAGAGAUGGAAAGAUAUGAUAUUCAAGAAAGGUGACAAGAAAACUUCAACAGCAGCCAAGAAACAAGAAGAAAAGGAUAAGGACAGAGACAGAGACAAGAAGAGAGAGAAAAGGAGUCAGAGUGGAGCGAGUUCAGCUG